GACGAACGCUGGCGGCGUGCUUAACACAUGCAAGUCGAGCGGUAAGGCCCUUUCGGGGUACGACGAGCGGCGAACGGGUGAGUAACACGUGGGUGACCUGCCCUCAGCUCUGGGAUAAGCCUGGGAAACCGGGUCUAAUACCGGAUAUGACUCCAUGACGCAUGUUGUGGGGUGGAAAGCCUUGUGCGGCUGAGGAUGGGCCCGCGGCCUAUCAGCUUGUUGGUGGGGUGAGGCCUACCAAGGCGACGACGGGUAGCCGGCCUGAGAGGGCGACCGGCCACACUGGGACUGAGACACGGCCCAGACUCCUACGGGAGGCAGCAGUGGGGAAUCUUGCGCAAUGGGCGAAAGCCUGACGCAGCGACGCCGCGUGA
rnacentral:rRNA from 1 species